rnacentral:rRNA from 1 species
UACGUAGGGGCCUAGCGUUGUCCGGAUUUAUUGGGCGUAAAGAGCUCGUAGGCGGUUCGGUAAGUCAGGUGUGAAACCUCCAGGCUCAACCUGGAGACGCCACUUGAUACUGCUGUGACUGGAGUCCGGUAGGGGAGCGUGGAAUUCCUGGUGUAGCGGUGAAAUGCGCAGAUAUCAGGAGGAACACCAGCGGCGAAGGCGGCGCUCUGGGCCGGUACUGACACUGAGGUGCGAAAGCGUGGGGAGCAAACAGG